rnacentral:rRNA from 1 species
GAUGAACGCUGGCGGCGUGCCUAAUACAUGCAAGUCGAGCGAACGGACGAGAAGCUUGCUUUUCUGAUGUUAGCGGCGGACGGGUGAGUAACACGUGGAUAACCUACCUAUAAGACUGGGAUAACUUCGGGAAACCGGAGCUAAUACCGGAUAAUAUUUUGAACCGCAUGGUUCAAAAGUGAAAGACGGUCUUGCUGUCACUUAUAGAUGGAUCCGCGCUGCAUUAGCUAGUUGGUAAGGUAACGGCUUACCAAGGCAACGAUGCAUAGCCGACCUGAGAGGGUGAUCGGCCACACUGGAACUGAGACACGGUCCAGACUCCUACGGGAGGCAGCAGUAGGGAAUCUUCCGCAAUGGGCGAAAGCCUGACGGAGCAACGCCGCGUGAGUGAUGAAGGUCUUCGGAUCGUAAAACUCUGUUAUUAGGGAAGAACAUAUGUGUAAGUAACUGUGCACAUCUUGACGGUACCUAAUCAGAAAGCCACGGCUAACUACGUGCCAGCAGCCGCGGUAAUACGUAGGUGGCAAGCGUUAUCCGGAAUUAUUGGGCGUAAAGCGCGCGUAGGCGGUUUUUUAAGUCUGAUGUGAAAGCCCACGGCUCAACCGUGGAGGGUCAUUGGAAAACUGGAAAACUUGAGUGCAGAAGAGGAAAGUGGAAUUCCAUGUGUAGCGGUGAAAUGCGCAGAGAUAUGGAGGAACACCAGUGGCGAAGGCGACUUUCUGGUCUGUAACUGACGCUGAUGUGCGAAAGCGUGGGGAUCAAACAGGAUUAGAUACCCUGGUAGUCCACGCCGUAAACGAUGAGUGCUAAGUGUUAGGGGGUUUCCGCCCCUUAGUGCUGCAGCUAACGCAUUAAGCACUCCGCCUGGGGAGUACGACCGCAAGGUUGAAACUCAAAGGAAUUGACGGGGACCCGCACAAGCGGUGGAGCAUGUGGUUUAAUUCGAAGCAACGCGAAGAACCUUACCAAAUCUUGACAUCCUUUGACAACUCUAGAGAUAGAGCCUUCCCCUUCGGGGGACAAAGUGACAGGUGGUGCAUGGUUGUCGUCAGCUCGUGUCGUGAGAUGUUGGGUUAAGUCCCGCAACGAGCGCAACCCUUAAGCUUAGUUGCCAUCAUUAAGUUGGGCACUCUAAGUUGACUGCCGGUGACAAACCGGAGGAAGGUGGGGAUGACGUCAAAUCAUCAUGCCCCUUAUGAUUUGGGCUACACACGUGCUACAAUGGACAAUACAAAGGGCAGCGAAACCGCGAGGUCAAGCAAAUCCCAUAAAGUUGUUCUCAGUUCGGAUUGUAGUCUGCAACUCGACUACAUGAAGCUGGAAUCGCUAGUAAUCGUAGAUCAGCAUGCUACGGUGAAUACGUUCCCGGGUCU